UACGUAGGGGGCAAGCGUUGUCCGGAAUUAUUGGGCGUAAAGAGCUCGUAGGCGGUCUGUUGCGUCGGCUGUGAAAACCCGGGGCUCAACCCCGGGCCUGCAGCCGAUACGGGCAGACUAGAGUUCGGCAGGGGAGACUGGAAUUCCUGGUGUAGCGGUGAAAUGCGCAGAUAUCAGGAGGAACACCGGUGGCGAAGGCGGGUCUCUGGGCCGAUACUGACGCUGAGGAGCGAAAGCAUGGGGAGCGAACAGG
rnacentral:rRNA from 1 species